AGGUAUUUAGUAUAAACAAAAUAUUUGAUUUCGGCUCAAAAGCUCGUGGUUUAACCCCAUGAUUACCUA
rnacentral:tRNA from 1 species